rnacentral:lncRNA from 10 species
CAACGAGGUGAAACGUGUGGUCAGCAGUGCACAGGAGAAGGGCAGGAAGGGCUAUGUGGAGGAUGGAUUGGAAUGCGGCGGCUUGAGGUCAGGUGACCGUGAAGUGGCCAGCAGGCCCCAAGUGAGCUGUGGGGAGGCCUGACGGGGGCAGUAUGGUGGAGAUGGAGUGGAGGCGCAGACAUAGGAGAGAGAGGUGUGUUACCUACGGUGACAACAGAGGGAAGACUGUUGGCGACAGGUGAGGGCUCUCUGAAGGCUUCACUGAAGGAGUGACAGAGCCAGACACAGGAGGUACGACAAAGAAAGGCAGCCUGUGGGGCCAGAAAGGUUAGCAGAACCCGACCAGGGGAGCCUUGCCUGUGUGUUUCAGGUGCUCUGCGACCACUUCUAUAAAACCUAAAAAAGGAGAUUGCUCUGAUUGCAACAGGUGUGGGGGACCAGUAUCCCAUCCCAUUGGCCCUGCCCUCCCACCUGUAAGGCAGAAUAUGGUUGGGAAAUCAUUGCCAUAUGCAGAAGGGGUCACUGAGGGGUUUUAAACAACAGUGACAUGCUCAGUUCUCUGGGUUGAGGCAUCAUCACCCUGGUGGCCAUGUGGAGGAUGGACUGG